GGCGAGCCUCGCCCUCAACAGCCGCGGCGGGCCUCGCCCCACCCCCAUCGGCGGCAGCACGGUCAGGUCAGCGCGCUCGGUGGCCCUCCUCCUCUAGCAGAUCCAGUCGCGAGCGGCUCGCCUCGUGCCGUCGUGCGGAUGCGACUCGUCUGUGGUGCGGCUCCACCGCAAGCCAACGACGGCAGUUGCCUCUUUCCCUAGCGGAUCCACCGCACAAGGCUCGUCCUCUUCAUCAACUAUGGCGUCAGGGCUCCAUCCCACCACUGAUGGCGGCUCCGGCAUCAGCGGGCAGGCAGCCUUUGGCUGGCGGCAUGGCCAUCGGCGACUGGGGACAGAUCAGGUGGUGCUGACCCUCUUCCCUGAUCAAUGGUGGCCUUCCUUCCUCUGGCUACUACAGCGACCCUUCCUAUGCCAUGGUCUUUUUGAUGCAGGUGCCUUCCUAUGCUAUCGUGUGGCUGCAGCAAGUAUGAAUAUGCACCUCAUCUAACAUAUACUGUGUUUUGUUUUUCUUCAUGCGUUAUGUUUUUGUUUUUGCCUUUUGGAUGCCGAGCGUAGAGAUGGAUCGAUGUUCCACAAUCAUAGUUCAUGCCCACAAAUUUUAAUGUUUUCUGCUGCCUAUAUAUAUCUCGACUUUCUCAUGAAAUUGAAUCUAGCUGCAGAGAGCCAGAGAUGGAGCAGCAAAGGUUUCUGUGCAGUUUAUUUUUUAUUUUUAAGCUUCUUGAGCCAGCAACAUAUGUAUUCGUAUCAAAGUAAACAUGUAUGUACUCAUACUCCAUAUAACCAUGUAUAUAGUUUCAUACUCACAAAGAUGUAUAUACUCAUACUCCCACUGUAUAUGUAUAUGUAUAUGCUCAUAUUCCUUUUGUCUAAUUUGAUGCUUCUAUGUUGACGGAAAUACACAUCAAAGAAAUUUAGCAUGCAGGCAUAUAUG
rnacentral:lncRNA from 1 species